rnacentral:lncRNA from 1 species
UGGAUUCUGGAUGUUUAAUUCACCAAUGCUGCUUUCCGCUACUUCAUUUUGCUCAUCCAUGGCUGCAAAAAUCUGGUUUGAAGUUCUAACCACUGGAUUUUGGAGGUUUAACUCACCAAUGCUGCUUUCCGCUACUUCAUUUUGCUCGUCCAUGGCUGCAGAUAUCUGGUUUGAAGUUCCAACCACUGGAUUUUGGAGGUCUAACUCACCAAUGCUGCUUUCCGCUACUUCGUUUUGCUCAUCCGUGGCUGCAGAUAUCUGGUUUGAAGUUCCAACCACUGGAUUUUGGAGGUUUAACUCACCAAUGCUGCUUUCAGCUACUUCAUUUUGCUCAUCCAUGGCUGCAGAAAUCCAGUUUGAAGUUUCAACCACUGGAUUUUGGAGGUUCAACUCACCAAUGCUGCUUUCAACUACAUUUUGUUCACCAUGGCAUGACUCAGAAGGCAUCUCUGAGUUGUAUGUAGUAUCAUAUGUAGGUUGGACAGAUUCCACAUCACUGACCACAUCUCUCGUCUCAACAACAGUGGUGGUUUUCACAUUGAGAACAUCUAAC